rnacentral:rRNA from 1 species
GGGGAAUAUUGGGCAAUGGGCGAAAGCCUGACCCAGCGACGCCGCGUGGGUGAUGAAGGCCUUCGGGUUGUAAAGCCCUUUCGUGCGGAAAGAACAGUCCCGUGGUUAAUACCCGCGGGAUUUGACGGUACCGCAGGAAGAAGCACCGGCUAACUCCGUGCCAGCAGCCGCGGUAAUACGGAGGGUGCAAGCGGUGUUCGGAAUUACUGGGCGGAAAGGGCGCGUAGGCGGUAAUGUAAGUCAGAUGUGAAAUCCUUCGGCUUAACCGGAGAACUGCAUCUGAAACUGCAUAACUAGAGUACAGAAGAGGGAAACGGAAUUCCCGGUGUAGAGGUGAAAUUCGUAGAUAUCGGGAGGAACACCAGUGGCGAAGGCGGUUUCCUGGUCUGAUACUGACGCUGAGGCGCGAAAGCGGGGGGAGCAAACAG